AACGAACGCUGGCGGCAUGCCUAACACAUGCAAGUCGAACGAAGUCUUCGGACUUAGUGGCGCACGAGUGCGUAACGCGUGGGAAUCUGCCCUUGGGUGCGGAAUAACUUCUCGAAAGGGAUGCUAAUACCGCAUAAUGUCGUAAGACCAAAGAUUUAUCGCCCAAGGAUGAGCCCGCGUAAGAUUAGCUAGUCGGUGGGGUAAAAGCCUACCAAGGCGACGAUCUUUAGCUGGUCUGAGAGGAUGAUCAGCCACACUGGGACUGAGACACGGCCCAGACUCCUACGGGAGGCAGCAGUGGGGAAUAUUGGACAAUGGGCGAAAGCCUGAUCCAGCAAUGCCGCGUGAGUGAUGAAGGCCCUAGGGUUGUAAAGCUCUUUUACCAGGGAUGAUAAUGACAGUACCGGGAGAAUAAGCCCCGGCUAACUCCGUGCCAGCAGCCGCGGUAAU
rnacentral:rRNA from 1 species